AUAUUGGACAAUGGGGGCAACCCUGAUCCAGCCAUGCCGCGUGAGUGAUGAAGGCCUUCGGGUCGUAAAGCUCUGUGGGGAGGGACGAACCGCUGCUGGUGCCUAGCCAGCAGCAUGACGGUACCUCCUUAGCAAGCUCCGGCUAACUACGUGCCAGCAGCCGCGGUAAUACGUAGGGAGCAAGCGUUGUUCGGAUUUACUGGGCGUAAAGGGCGCGUAGGCGGCGUGUUAAGUCAGCUGGGAAAUCUCCAAGCUCAACUUGGAACGGCCAGCUGAUACUGAUGUGCUAGAGUGCAGAAGGGGCAAUCGGAAUUCUUGGUGUAGCGGUGAAAUGCGUAGAUAUCAAGAGGAACACCUGAGGUGAAGACGGGUUGCUGGGCUGACACUGACGCUGAGGCGCGAAAGCCAGGGGAGCAAAC
rnacentral:rRNA from 1 species